AUGGCUGUCGUCAGCUCGUGUCGUGAGGUGUUCGGUUAAGUUCGGCAACGANNGCAACCCAUAUCAUUAGUUGCCAACAGGUAAUGCUGGGGACUCUAAUGAGACUGCCCGAGUCAAUCGGGAGGAAGGCGUGGACGACGUCAAGUCAGUAUGGCCCUUACACCCAGGGCUNGACACGUGCUACAAUGGCGACUACAGAAGGCAGCGAUACCGCGAGGUUGAGCAAAUCCGUGAAAAGUCGCCCCNGUUCGGAUAGGAGUCUGCAACUCGACUCCUUGAAGUCGGAAUCGCUAGUAAAGGCGUAUCAGCUACGACGCC
rnacentral:rRNA from 1 species